rnacentral:rRNA from 1 species
AUGGAGCUUGCCAUAUCUGCAGUAACAGGUGAACUCAUGAGCCGAUUCAUCUCCUUCCUUGCCAACAAGUACCACUCGAGCCAUGAAUACUCGGAAGAGAAGCAGCUGAAGAGGCUGCAGCAGCUGCUCCUGAGAGCUCACACGGUCAUCGAGGAGGCAGACGGGCGGUACAUCACCAACUCCGGGAUGCUGGUGCAGCUCAGUAUGCUUGCGGACGCCAUGUACCGAGGCUACUGGGCACUAGGUGCGUCCAGGUACAUUUCACUCGAAGAGUCCAUUGAGGAGGAGGGGGAGGUUUGCAAUCCAUCUGCUCCCAAACGUUUUCGCAUGGUUCAUGGAAGUGCUAGAAAGAACAAGGCCACAUACCCCGUCGACUUGCAGGGUGCGUUGGAGAGCUUGGAGGAUGUAGUCGCUGGCAUGACGGAGUUUGUUGUUCUUUUGGGUGGAUGCGACCGUAUGCUGCGUCGACCAUACGAUGCGUAUCUAUACAACGACAACAUCAUGUUCGGACGUCACGCCGAGAAGCAAAAGCUCCUGAACUUCAUGUUGUGGCACAACUCUCCUGGUGGCGGUGCGCCGGCUAUCCUUCCCAUCAUCGGUGGUCCAAUGGUCGGGAAGAGGACUCUGGUCGCCCAUGUAUGCAAGGACGAGAGGGUCCGCUCACACUUCUCUUUGAUCCUGCACCUGAAUGGUGAUUCCUUUAGUAGCCUGACAGACCAUGAUCGUAGCCUCUUGCCAGGCAAGAUACUGGUGGUUGUUGAGCUUGUUUCAGAUGUUGACGAGGAGGAUUGGGCCAAGUUCUGUUUAGCCGUAGCAACAAGCAUGGAUAAUGGAAGCAAGGUGAUCAUCAUCAGCCACCUUAAAAAUUCAGAGCGACUCGGAACCGUUGAGCCAAUCUUCCUCAAAACCCUGUCAUACGAGGAGUUCAGCUACCUAUUCAAGACACUAGCAUUCGGGAGUGCGAACCCGGCACAGCACCCACGGUUAGCGCGGAUAGCAGACGAGCUGGUCAGGGAAUUCCAACCCGAAUGGUCAAUCGGCACUGCAAAUCCGUUUGCGGACAUCAUGAGGAGGAACCUCAGCGUCCAUUUUUGGCUCUGCAUCCUGAGCGGGCUGAGAAGGGUAGUCGAGAGGAACUUAUCCCUGUUUGGGGAGCACCCGAAGCUCCUCGCCCGGAGACGUCACCAGGUAGACGUUACUGACUUGGUCUCGCAUCCCAUGGAUUCUCCACUCCGGGUCGUGGCUUCCUGUACCAGUGGCAGCAGCCACACUGAAGUUACAGUGGAAAGGGAAUUGCUACCGAGGGUGAGGUUUGGGGAUCUGUUGACGGGUCCUGGAGUUAGACCACAAGGGGAUUUCAAUGUGGUUACUUGGGAAUCAAGAUUGCCACCUUACACCUCGUAUGUUCAUUUCGCUACAAGUGGAAAUGGUGCUCCAGGUGUGGCGCAACAGAGUACUCCCCUGUCUGGGAGGAAGCGUGCAGCAGUGCCUUUGUAA